ACGAACGCUGGCGGCGUGCUUAACACAUGCAAGUCGAACGGUGAAGCGCCUUCCUUUUUGGUGGGUGUGGAUGAGUGGCGAACGGGUGAGUAACACGUGAGUAACCUGCCCCCUUCUUCUGGAUAACCGCAUGAAAGUGUGGCUAAUACGGGAUAUUCUGGGUCUGUCGCAUGAUGGGUCUGGGAAAGAUAUUGUUUCGGUGGGGGAUGGGCUCGCGGCCUAUCAGCUUGUUGGUGGGGUGAUGGCCUACCAAGGCGGUGACGGGUAGCCGGCCUGAGAGGGUGGACGGGCACACAGGGACUGAGACACGGCCAAGACUGCUACGGGAGGCAGCAGUGGGGAAUAUUGCACAAUGGGCGAAAGACUGAUGCAGCGACGCCGAGUGAGGGAUGGAGGCCUGCGGGUUGUGAACCUCUUUCGCCAGUGAAGCAGGCCUGCCUCGUAUGUGGGUGGGUUGACGGUAGCUGGAGAAGAAGCGCCGGCUAACUACGUG
rnacentral:rRNA from 1 species